ensembl:lncRNA
CCUACACCGACGAGUCUCUGACAAAUUUUGAGUUGACGUUUAUUCGCGUGACUCAUGGCUGCACUUUUUUCUCAACAUCGGAGACAAGUGAUGUUGUUCAGCGAGGUCUCCUCCUGGCACGGGUUGUUAAUUUAUUGCCAUAGACAACUCAUUCUCACCCCGCCUCGCUGGCCAAGCUGCAGCCACGCUCUGUGUCACCACCACUCCUAGCCAAGUGUCAUGUGAUCUAAAAAAUACCUGGCACUGUGAAAUGGCUUUCUUUUUUCCACAAACCGCAACCAAGCGGCCCCGGUACCAUCCUGAGAGAACGACCGGGUAAAGACAACGUUCACACGGAAGAACAUGGGAAUACGGCUCAACUGUCGGGCACACAAAACACGUCUGAGCAAUACGCUAAGAGGAGAAAUAUGGAAAGUACUAUUGAUCAGCACCUGCAAAGCUAACCACCAGGGAUGUUCUGGGAGGUUUCUGCGAGCUUGGGACGCCACCUCCACUGCAUGUUGGAUGACUGCUUAGCUCCGAUGUGGACGGAGACAGGGAAGCCGUGACCAGGCACGAAGGGCAAAAAAGCCAUUCAUGGAAACCCAUCACCCAAUUCCAAGAGGGAAGGAAUGAAACGCAGUCUGACUGGAAGCACUGUAUGCCUAACAGAAGGUUGGGGCAGAAUGGCAUCUGAUGUAAAGACUGUCAGGAGUCAGGCUUCACAUCACCACGGUGCCAACAUCCUGGGGACCAGGAACGUCAAUCAUGAUUUAAUUGAUCUUCACCCUCUCCACAUUUCAAAAGAUCUUGGCUGAUCUGGGUUUCACGACUACUUCGCCCUGAGUUGUGCCAGUCUGCUCAGCGCAGCACUGAACUGCGACAGGAAACAUCUCCCAGGGAGGGUUGAAAAAUCCUGAGUCACAUCCAGUGAUAGGAUUCAGAUUUUGUAUGUUAAUUAAUUACUUAUUCAAGUAUCGA